rnacentral:rRNA from 1 species
GACGAACGCUGGCGGCGUGCCUAAUACAUGCAAGUCGAACGCUUUUUCUUUCACCGGAGCUUGCUCCACCGAAAGAAAAAGAGUGGCGAACGGGUGAGUAACACGUGGGUAACCUGCCCAUCAGAAGGGGAUAACACUUGGAAACAGGUGCUAAUACCGUAUAACACUAUUUUCCGCAUGGAAGAAAGUUGAAAGGCGCUUUUGCGUCACUGAUGGAUGGACCCGCGGUGCAUUAGCUAGUUGGUGAGGUAACGGCUCACCAAGGCAACGAUGCAUAGCCGACCUGAGAGGGUGAUCGGCCACACUGGGACUGAGACACGGCCCAGACUCCUACGGGAGGCAGCAGUAGGGAAUCUUCGGCAAUGGACGAAAGUCUGACCGAGCAACGCCGCGUGAGUGAAGAAGGUUUUCGGAUCGUAAAACUCUGUUGUUAGAGAAGAACAAGGAUGAGAGUAAAACGUUCAUCCCUUGACGUAUCUAACCA